rnacentral:sRNA from 1 species
AGCAGUAUGCGAGACAGGGACAGAGCGAUCUACUUGCGGAACUAUGUAGCAAAACACACACAUAUAUAUAUAAGAGCUGCCUGUGAGCAGCACAAUUAUCACUAUCAAAAAACAUUCGCUUUGUUCACUUCAACCAACGAAGACAUGUUUAAUUAGAACAGUUUAACCAUUCCAUAACCAAUACUACUAUGAAACAUAGUUACCCUAACCCACGACCGGUAACUGGCGCAGCCGGACACGUCAUUGUACUAGAAGAAGAGCCGAGGACGAAGACCCCACGCAAUGCAGAUUGGAAUAAUAUUAUUAGCAAAAUGUAUACAAGUUAAGUGCAUCGCAUAAGAACCAACUAGGUUCCCGAGUGAAACAGGCGCCUAUGCCCACUCGCAACGAUCAGCAAAGGGCCACCUAGGCUCACGGAUGAAACAGGCGCCUAUGCCCAUCCGCAACGAAAUGUUCAAUCAGCAAGUGUAUUCGUUAGCCGUGUUCUAUUUGUUCACACGCUAUCCUCUAUAUGGCAGUGUGAGGUGCCGAAUUCAUAUCGGUCGAAUAGUUCGCUUACAUUACAGUAGCUGAUGUGAACAUACAUACAAAACGUACAAAAAAAAUACAUAUACACAAACACACAUAUAAUACAUACAUACACAUACAUAUAAGCAUGUUUAUCAAUUCGGCAGUUCUGCGCGACGACUCCGGCGCCUACCUAGCGUCGACGACGUCGCCUGGCUGGCGUUGCGAGUCGCCACCGCCGACUCACGACUAACAGCUAAAUACAGCUAAGCCGAGAAACGGUAAAUGUCGUCCGAUCACGGGUAUUACCCAACUACUACCACAGGGUUUGCAACGGAAAAAAUUAAAAAAAA